rnacentral:sRNA from 1 species
UUGACGACAGUCAGCGUGCAUGUGGUCC